AUUGAACGCUGGCGGCAUGCCUAACACAUGCAAGUCGAGCGGACGAAGGGGGCUUUCUCCUGUCUUCAGUGGCGGACGGGCGGGUGAUGCCCAGGUAUCUACCUUGCAGUUGAGGAUGGCGUCAGGUCACGGGCGCUAAUACCGCAUCCGUCAUGAGUUUGAAAGGGGGGGAUCUUCGGACCUAACGCUAUCUGAUGACCCUAGGUCGGAUUAGCUAGUUGGUGUGGUAAAGGCUUACGAAGGCGACGAUCCGUAGCUGAUCUGAGAGGCUGAUCAGUCACACUGGAACUGAGACACGGUCCAGACUCCUACGGGAGGCAGCAGUGGGGAAUAUUGCGCAAUGGGCGAAAGCCUGAUGGAGCAAUGCCGCGUGAGUGAAGAAGGUCUUCGGAUCGUAAAGCUCUUUUAGUAGGGAAGAACAGAAGUAUGUUAAACCCUGGCUGUCUUGACGGUACCUACAGAGAAAGCCACGGCUAACUUCGUG
rnacentral:rRNA from 1 species